AGCGGCGGAUGGGUGAGUAACACGUGGGUAACCUGCCCUAAAGUCUGGGAUACCACUUGGAAACAGGUGCUAAUACCGGAUAACAGCAAUAGCUGCAUGGCUAUUGCUUAAAAGGCGGCGUAAGCUGUCGCUAAAGGAUGGACCCGCGGUGCAUUAGCUAGUUGGUAAGGUAACGGCUUACCAAGGCGACGAUGCAUAGCCGAGUUGAGAGACUGAUCGGCCACAUUGGGACUGAGACACGGCCCAAACUCCUACGGGAGGCAGCAGUAGGGAAUCUUCCACAAUGGGCGAAAGCCUGAUGGAGCAACGCCGCGUGAGUGAAGAAGGUUUUCGGAUCGUAAAGCUCUGUUGUUGGUGAAGAAGGAUAGAGGUAGUAACUGGCCCCUAUUUGACGGUAAUCAACCAGAAAGUCACGGCUAACUACGUGCCAGCAGCCGCGGGUAAUACGUAGGUGGCAAGCGUUGUCCGGAUUUAUUGGGCGUAAAGCGAGCGCAGGCNGAAAGAUAAGUCUGAUGUGAAGCCCCCGGCUUAACCGAGGAAUUGCAUCGGAACUGUGUUUUUUGAUGCA
rnacentral:rRNA from 1 species